CCCCCUUGGCAAUGGGCAAAGAGACACCUUACUGAUGAUGGUGACCUAUCAGUCAAAGGCAGAGCAAACAACAGUCCUUUGUUCAUCCUAGCUUGAUGUCUGGCUUGGUGGCCAGGGCUGUUUCAUGCCUAGGGUACAUAA
rfam:Fukomys damarensis contig142236, whole genome shotgun sequence.